CGCCUCUUGCAAAAUUUACAAAUAAGAGGUCCCGCCUGCCCUGUGACUAUAUGUUUAACGGCCGCGGUAUUUUGACCGUGCAAAGGUAGCGCAAUCACUUGUCUUUUAAAUGGAGACCCGUAUGAAUGGCAUAACGAGGGCUUAACUGUCUCUUCUUUCAAGUCAAUGAAAUUGAUCUCCCCGUGCAGAAGCGGGGAUGCGCACAUAAGACGAGAAGACCCUGUGGAGCUUUAGGCACUAAGGCAGAAUAUGUAAAGUACCCCAAAUUAAAGACUAAAACAGCUUAUGACCUGCCCUAAUGCCUUCGGUUGGGGCGACCGCGGGGAAAUAAAAAACCCCCAUGUAGAACGGGAGCACUGCUCCUACAACUUAGAGCCCCCGCUCUAAUUAACAGAACCUCUGACUAAUAAGAUCCGGCAAUGCCGAUCAACGGACCAAGUUACCCCAGGGAUAACAGCGCAAUCCCCUUUUAGAGCCCAUAUCGACAAGGGGGUUUACGACCUCGAUGUUGGAUCAGGACAUCCUAAUGGUGCAGCCGCUAUUAAGGGUUCGUUUGUUCAACGAUUAAAGUCCU
rnacentral:rRNA from 1 species